UACGGAGGGGGCUAGCGUUGUUCGGAAUUACUGGGCGUAAAGCGCACGUAGGCGGCUUUCUAAGUCGGGGGUGAAAUCCUGGAGCUCAACUCCAGAACUGCCUUCGAUACUGGAAAGCUCGAGUCCGGGAGAGGUGAGUGGAACUGCGAGUGUAGAGGUGAAAUUCGUAGAUAUUCGCAAGAACACCAGUGGCGAAGGCGGCUCACUGGCCCGGUACUGACGCUGAGGUGACGAAAGCGUGGGGAGCAAACAGG
rnacentral:rRNA from 1 species